rnacentral:lncRNA from 1 species
UCCCCAUUUGGAAGGAGCUUUUCUUGUUGUGCUGCAGGAACGCAGUUAGGGUGGGCUCCCCUUGAUUCCGGGGACCGAGAGGUUCUGGAAGCAGCCUGGAUGGGAGGAAGAAGGACAAAAGGGGGAAGAGGGGUGGGUGACGGAGGAGCGGCGCCGGUGGGACUACGGGCUGCCCGGGAGCUCCGAAUGUGCACACACGCCGUCUGUAUGUGUGUGCAGCAAAUCCAGGCUCUGCUGGCUCCCCCCAAGACGGACGAGGCAGAAAAGCGGAGUCGGAAGCCGGAGAAGGAGUCCCGGAGAAGCGGCAGGGCCACCAACCACGACAGCUGCGAUAGCUGCAAGGAAGGUGGAGAUCUCUUGUGCUGUGAU